GACGGAUGUUGUGCAAAAAGUUUGACUUCUCCAACGUGAUUAGCAUAUUUCUAAACAGAAGAGAAAUGCUAAUAUCGUAUUUCAUAAAAUCUCAUUUUGAGGACGUGUUAUUAUUUAAACAUCCACAAAGAGAGAAAGUCCAAUGUAGGAUAAUGUAAUCAAUAGUUGAGUAUCUUUCAGUAAAGGAGUUACAUAAAAGAGAUAACUAGUUACACUCGUUUAAAUUUUAAUUUUCAUUCAAUGUGUUUGUAGGGAUUCGUAAAAACCUUCUUUAUUGUUCAGUAUAAAGUUUCGUUUAAAUUGGCGCAAUUGGUUUUUUUUCAGUUCUUUGCUUCGCUUAUAUAUCAAUUUUAAAAACUGAGCUCAUCGCGCCACAUUUUCGAAAAUAUUCUAUUUCAAUAUUCAGUGUUGAACGCUGUGAAUGCAAAGUUGUUCAAAAGCACGUCAUCGAUGAAAAAAAUAACGGAAUACACAAAUAAUAAAACUCAACCCUUUAAUUUCUUCUUAUUCUCUUUCGUCACAGAGUAAUUACUCCUCUUGCUCUACAUGCUGCAUGUAAUCACACGGUUAAUAUUUAUAUACAAUUAUUUUUUUAUUUUUGUUACCCUAUAAAGUCUAGAAGUGGUUGAAAUAGAAUUAGAAUAUUUGAAUAUAAGACUACUUUGGUCCUCGGUAAAGUAUAAACGAUUCUCUCGCCACCGUUCAUGAACUUUCACAGUGAUAAAUUAUUACCUCGUAUUUAAUAUCGCACUUGAAGUAACUGCGCAUUAAACUGAAAUAAUAGAAUUUUCGAACGUUCAGUGGAUCUAUAAAUCAUGCGAGUCCUUAAAUCCGAAUUGUCUGUCGAAAUUAGCGAAGUGGUCCGUGCAUUUAAGGCGCGUUGCUUUAAUUGAGAUUUAUAGACGCAAGAGGUAGUUUAUUACGUCGCUUGUAUUUGAGCUGGGAAAGGUCAGUGUAAACAGUGGAAAGUUGUUGGUUGUUUAACGUGAAAUAUAUUGAAAUUUCGUCCUCGUGAAAUGCAGAAAUCACUAUAGGUACAUACAUACAUGUGCAUAUUCGAAGCUGCUCUCUUUCUGUUUCCAGCUUCAACUUCUUCUAUAAGCUAUUUAUAACGAUUCUUUAUUAAAAGUAUGUAUUAGUAAAACCAAAAAAAUGUCUGAAAUUUUAUUUUAUGUUUAAAAUUUGAACAUAAAAUGACAUCGAUGUUUCUAAUAGAACCAUGAAUGUUUUGCGUAAAUCCCUCGUUUUUAUAAUUCCGGAUAUACAAAUUUUUCAUGAAUAAAAACGUAGUCCUUUCUGAGCUACUUUAUAUUUUAUGUUAGGAAGUUUAUUCCAGGAAAUAUUCCAAUGUUUUACUAUGAACGUUUAAACAUUGUAUUACCCGAUUUUUUAUUUCCUAGAGGAUGAUGCAGCUGCAACCGAUUAAUUAUUUUCCAUUUUAGAAAUCAUUAUUAUAAAUAUAAGUAUAAAUUAAUUUUUUGUAUAUUUUUUUUUAGAAGUAGUGUAAUUAUUUUGUAUUUAAAUUUGAUAAUUCAUUAUUAUGAUUAAAUAUAAAUCAAUUUUUCAUACAUUCUCUUAGCAAAAAUAUAAAGCAGGUCCAAGUUUUUAGAAUCACCGUGUAUAUUUGCAGUCAAACUUGCACACGAAUGAACUUUAAAGCGAAUGAAACAAUCCAUCGUUAUCGAUGCUGAAAUAUCCAAAAUGUCAUGAAUAAUGAGUAUGAAUAAUAUCUUCGAAAAAGUAACAUCCACAGGUAAGCACUCCUGGACGUCAUUUCAAAAGAUUAAAUUUUCCGCGUUCGAUUUUUUUCAAUGUGCUGGGUGUUCCACCAUUUUUCUACAGAUACAGAUUUUGUCGAGGAAGUUUCAAAGAAUGGGGUGAUAUUUUUUUAUUAUAGAGCGCUAUGUCGUUUUAUUUUGUACGUUACCAGCAGUCUACGAAGCCUGCAUUUGGAUUCUCUACGGGCGCCAUUUCUUCCUUCAGUGGCCCAUGCUGUAUUCCUUGGGAGCCACGAGCAGAAAAUGCAAAUGAAUUGAAAACCACAAUUACUAAAGAGGCCAUAAAAAUGUACGUUUUCCAAUUGCUGUAAAAGUAUUAUAUUUCGAUGUACGUCGAGUGACUUUGCCAGUGUUGGUCCGAUAUGCCAGUACACGUGGAAGUACAGUAAUGGGAAACGUCUUCUGUGCCGAGAAGCUACUUCCAAAAAAGGUUGAGAAGUAAGGCCUAUCAUUAUCAUUUCCUGUUCUAACACGACAUCCCAAAGCCGCUUAAAUGCAAAUGCAUUAUAAAGCCGACAAGCUUUUGAAAGCCUCGCUAUUAGUACGUGAACAUCGUUCUAGUUUCAAUCCCGAUUAUAUACAGUCUUCUCUACUGCGGAAAUUACUGCAUUAGGAGAUAUUUUGUUGUAAAAGGUGCAAGAAAUUCACUUUUGAUUUUCUUGGGGAUUUAUUGCCUUAAAAAUGUGAGCCUAAAGUAUCGAGAAACGAUUAAUAAAAGUAACAUAAUUGACAUAAUAAUUGACAUUUCAAACAUAACAUUUUUCUUCAAUUAUUUUAAGCAUAAUGUUUGUAAUGGUUUGUAUUUAGGGGGCACUCUUCACUUAGCACAAAUCAUUUUGAAAAUAUUCGUUCAGAAAUUUUGUUAAAAAACCUGAGUUUUCUUUUAAAAAAGAAAACUGUAACUGUAUUCUGCAAAUAUGUUACAUGUAUACAUGUAAGUAAAGAAUGAUAAUGUAAGAAGGUAGAGCAUUAAGGAUAAUUCAAUUUUGCUUGAACGUUUUCCGAUAUCUCUAAUCAUUUCAACGAUGCAACUCAGUCUUCUGACACUAUACAUAGUCGAGCAAAACAGUCAGAUGAUCGACUAUCGAUUCUGUAGUAUGCUGUAUUAUACUGUAAUAUUUUAUGUUAUACGAAUAUUAAAUACGAAUUAAAAACAAGGGUAUGUAC